AUGGAGGUUGAGGUGAGGAACACAUGUGCGGAGUGUAGGCUUGCUAUCAAGGGAGGAGGAAACAAAAAAGAGAAAGGAACAAAAGCGAAGGAUCAUGUUCAUGGAUGCUAUCGGCCAAUAUUGGAAGCUCACCCCUUGUAUGGUAGUGGUAAAUUCAUGUUUCUUUUGAUGAAUAUAUAUAUGUGGGAUGGGGUGGCUUUUUGUUACUAUUUUGCAUUCGGUGGCUUUCGAUACUCUAUGUUGAUACUUUUCGUUGAAUUUGAAAUGAUGUUCAAAUUUGUGUAUUCAAAAGUCAUACUAAGUCAGCGACAAUCUAAUAUGAAUAAGAGGGAGUUGCGUCAUCGAGAAGUUCAAACUGUGCAGUGUUUGCAAGGAGAAAUAGAAACAAAAGUUUGA
rnacentral:rRNA from 1 species